rnacentral:rRNA from 1 species
GACGAACGCUGGCGGCGUGCCUAAUACAUGCAAGUAGAACGCUGAAGAGAGGAGCUUGCUCUUCUUGGAUGAGUUGCGAACGGGUGAGUAACGCGUAGGUAACCUGCCUUGUAGCGGGGGAUAACUAUUGGAAACGAUAGCUAAUACCGCAUAACAAUGAAUGACACAUGUCAUUUAUUUGAAAGGGGCAAUUGCUCCACUACAAGAUGGACCUGCGUUGUAUUAGCUAGUAGGUGAGGUAACGGCUCACCUAGGCGACGAUACAUAGCCGACCUGAGAGGGUGAUCGGCCACACUGGGACUGAGACACAGCCCAGACUCCUACGGGAGGCAGCAGUAGGGAAUCUUCGGCGAUGGGGGCAACCCUGACCGAGCAACGCCGCGUGAGUGAAGAAGGUUUUCGGAUCGUAAAGCUCUGUUGUAAGUCAAGAACGAGUGUGAGAGUGGAAAGUUCACACUGUGACGGUAGCUUACCAGAAAGGGACGGCUAACUACGUGCCAGCCGCCGCGGUAA